rnacentral:lncRNA from 1 species
UCUAGAUAAAAGGAUUCAUGCAGUUGGUUCAUGCCAAAACAAAAAAGCUUGAGCACUUGCUUGCUUAAAAUGUCACCAACCUUUUAACGCAACGGUAAACAUUUGUGAUGAAUGCACCUGGUUACUCAGUUGGUCACAAGUUUUAAAUGGCUACUAACGCUACUCGUAGCCAUUUGACUAGAGGAGUAGAUUAUUAUUCAUGUUCUUUUUUUUUCUUUCAUU